GGGGUUGUGGCUCAGUGGUAGAGCGCUUGUCUCCCAUGUAUGGGGCCUUGGGUUUGAUCCUCAGCAUCCCA
rnacentral:tRNA from 1 species